AGUCGAGGGGUAUAGUAGCAAUACUAGAGACCGGCGCACGGGUGCGUAACGCGUAUGCAAUCUACCUUUUACAGGGGAAUAGCCCAGAGAAAUUUGGAUUAAUGCCCCAUGGUAUUAUAGAGUGGCAUCAUUUUAUAAUUAAAGUUCCAACGGUAAAAGAUGAGCAUGCGUCCCGUUAGCUAGUUGGUAAGGUAACGGCUUACCAAGGCGACGAUGGGUAGGGGUCCUGAGAGGGAGAUCCCCCACACUGGUACUGAGACACGGACCAGACUCCUACGGGAGGCAGCAGUGAGGAAUAUUGGACAAUGGGCGCAAGCCUGAUCCAGCCAUGCCGCGUGCAGGAAGACGGUCCUAUGGAUUGUAAACUGCUUUUAUACAGGAAGAAACACCUCUACGAGUAGAGACUUGACGGUACUGUAAGAAUAAGGAUCGGCUAACUCCGUGCCAGCAGCCGCGGUAAUACGGAGGAUCCAAGCGUUAUCCGGAAUCAUUGGGUUUAAAGGGUCCGUAGGCGGAUUUGUAAGUCAGUGGUGAAAUCUCCCCGCUCAACGGGGAAACGGCCAUUGAUACUGCAAGUCUUGAAUUAUUAGGAAGUAACUAGAAUAUGUAGUGUAGCGGUGAAAUGCUUAGAGAUUACAUGGAAUACCAAUUGCGAAGGCAGGUUACUACUAAUGGAUUGACGCUGAUGGACGAAAGCGUGGGUAGCGAACAGGAUUAGAUACCCUGGUAGUCCACGCCGUAAACGAUGGAUACUAGCUGUUGGGGGCAACUUCAGUGGCUAAGCGAAAGUGAUAAGUAUCCCACCUGGGGAGUACGUUCGCAAGAAUGAAACUCAAAGGAAUUGACGGGGGCCCGCACAAGCGGUGGAGCAUGUGGUUUAAUUCGAUGAUACGCGAGGAACCUUACCAAGGCUUAAAUGUAGAUUGACCGUUUUGGAAACAGAACUUUCG
rnacentral:rRNA from 1 species